ensembl:lncRNA
CUGGAACACAGUAUUGGAAUUUGGCAAAAAGAAGAGGCAGCAUAUUUAAGUUAGCAGAGUUUCAAAACAGUGUUUGUGUCACAAUGCACCUACGAAGCAUUAAAAUGCUGCCUAGAGAGGACGCUCACUUGUUUUUGGAACUAAGCUUGUGAUUCCAAACACAGGAUGUUAUGUAAGAUUAAUAAAAUGGAGAUGUUUGUUGACCUUCAAAAUAUUUAGGAAUUAUGUAAUGUUGGUCGUGCUGUGUGCAGUUCCACCCUGUGUUGUGCCCUCUACUUAUGCGGCUGUGGAGAAUGUGAGGUAUGUGUGUCGCAGUUUUAAGGGAGUGUAAAAAGCAGCCACAUCUUCUGCAUAUGUGUGCUUCAUCCGCACUUUGGCUUUGGGGGAAAGCACCUGCUGAACGAUUACUGCUUUGUCUCCACAGCAACUCUGCUGUGGGGUUUAUUGUCCAGAUGGAUGCACUGAAGCCAAGGGAACCUGCAACAUGCUUCACAGAUUUCAACACUUGCAUUCACCCAUAAAAGCAGAACAGCUCAUUUAGAGAGGUGACCAUAGGGGAUGCAAGGUAGAACGCUGAUACUUCCCUGUUGACUCCAGCCCUAGGUCUUGCGGAUCUCAGGAUAAUUUACAUUCAGCAGUACACGUGUACGGGUUUACCAUUGCUAUGGCUUCCAGAGGACACUAAUGUUUCAGUGGGGCCUCAAAACGAUUCUGACAGAUUGAAGCAUUCAAACUGUUCACUUUUUGAAAGGAAUGACUGAUGCCAAUAGGACAUUUAGGAGUAUAGCUAUUCAAAUAAUAAUAAUAAUGUUGCAUUUUUUAUUUUUUAUGCUUCCUUUGGAAGCUUGAAAUUGCUUAAAGCUGUUUGAAGUUGUCUGUUAAUAUUGUGAAAAUUUCAUAUGAAGCAUUUUAUGGCUGAAAUGUGAUGAUAACCAAGGGAAAGUGAGAAAAGAAAACAGGCUUGACAAAAAAAAAAAAACUUGACAAACUGCCCCAGAGAACCCGGAAAAAAGGUCUCCCAUCACUCAUCUGGUGGGAUUAAGACUGAUUUCUCCAAGGGUUUGGUGACGAUGGGAAGUUUCGAGUCAGAGCGUCAUCAGAGAAAGUGAAAUUCCUGGUUUACGUAUUUUGGUUCAGGCUUUCCGAAGAUGUUGUGUUAUGAACUUUCUAGUUGUGUUUGAUACCUGUCCAUCAGGGGCUGAACUGAGCUUUAGCGUCACUCUGGAUCUAGUGAGAUUUAAAAACUGUAAUUUUAGCCAGUGUCUGGU